CUGGGCUACCUAUUGAGUUCCAGAGAAGCCUGCUACCUGUCUAAGCCGCCUAGAGAAGCGUAUGUCGGAAGGAACUGAUGCCUGCUCAGUAGCUCGGUCACAAGUGAAGCUGGGGAGAAGCUUAAAAUGAAGUUCUCUUUGCACAGCCCCAUUCAGGGCCUUCACUGCCGAUCGUACAACAAGAUCCAGAAUUCAGGAGUCUUCCCCGCAAAGGCCAGACUGAGGCUCUUAACCUGCAGAAAUUAUAGGGGAGGUCAUGAUAAUCGACCUCUAUCUUGAUAUGGUUCAGGAGAGCCUUUGGUUGCACAACUCAUCGCUUUAUGAAAGCUUGGAAAAAUCUCCUAAAAG